AUUGAACGCUGGCGGCAGGCCUAACACAUGCAAGUCGAGCGAGCGGCGGACGGGUGAGUAAUGCCUGGGAAUUGCCCAGUCGAGGGGGAUAACAGUUGGAAACGACUGCUAAUACCGCAUACGAUUGGAUUGCGCCGGUGGGAUGAGCUAGUUGGUGGGGUAACGGCGCACCAAGGCGACGAUCCCUAGCUGGGCUGAGAGGAGGAGCAGCCACACUGGAACUGAGACACGGUCCAGACUCCUACGGGAGGCAGCAGUGGGGAAUAUUGCACAAUGGGGGAAACCCUGAUGCAGCCAUGCCGAGUGUGUGAAGAAGGCCUUCGGGUUGUAAAGCACUUUCAGCGAGGAGGCGUUACUCGCAGAAGAAGCACCGGCUAACUCCGUGCCAGCAGCCGCGGUAAUAC
rnacentral:rRNA from 1 species